AGUGCGCGCGGGGUCUUGCUGUUUAACGUUCGCUGCCACGAACCAACGGGCGCCUUUUCUUCAGCUCACCGCACCUCCUCUACAGUGCGUCCACCCGGGGUCUUGGCUGGAAGUCACUAGGUGCAGCGCUUUAAGACUGUAUGGACGCCCACAGCGGUGGAGCUCUAUGAGGAACAGUUCCACUCUCCUCCUCCUCGGCCUUCACACAGCUGAGUUGAACAGACGACAUGAAGCUGUAGGUAAGUACAGUAACAAAACACUGAUACAGAUCUAGGGAGAAGUCAGCCAGCCAUGAUGAAAACACAAUCCUGCAGAGAUUACCUGCCAGCCUCAUGCUCAGAACCCUUGAAAACACCCAAUCUAAAUUAAAAUACAUGAAGCUU